UACAGAGGGUGCGAGCGUUGUUCGGAAUCACUGGGCGUAAAGCGCAUGUAGGUGGUAUAGUAAGUUGAAUGUGAAAUCCCUUGGCUCAACCGAGGACGUGCAUUCAAAACUGCUAAACUAGAGUAUCGGAGGGGGUGGUAGAAUUCCUAGUGUAGAGGUGAAAUUCGUAGAUAUUAGGAGGAAUACCCGUGGCGAAGGCGACCACCUGGACGAUAACUGACACUGAGAUGCGAAAGCGUGGGUAGCAAACGGG
rnacentral:rRNA from 1 species